CAUGUAUUAUGUUGGUGCAAAAGUAAUUAUGGUUUUUGCCAUUACUUUCAGUGGCAAAAAUCAAAUUACUUUUGCACCAACCUAAUAGUU
rnacentral:miRNA from 1 species